rnacentral:lncRNA from 1 species
AGGAACGCCAGAGUUCCGGAAGCCUCUAGCUGACAAAGAAAUCCUGGGGUUCAAAGUUCGAUCUGACGGCGUAGGGAUUGCUGGGGACGUACGCUGUUCAUUCAUGGAUCGACCAGGUCCUGAUAUUAUUAUUAUUGUCCCAAAAAAUUACCAAUUGUUUGAUUACAGGCAUCAAUAGCAAUUAUAAAAAAAAAAAUUCAUAUAUACCUGCCAAAAUAUAUAAAAUUAUAUAAAUAUUUUUAUAAAAAUACUAUUUAUAUGUAUACUCUUAUAAAAUACUUAUUUUGUAUUUAUACCCUUCCUUUUCUUUCUUUUUUAUAUAUGUAACCAUACUAUCUAACACCAUUAAAAAAUAAAUGAUUUAAAUUUGAAAUGACUGAAAUAUUCUCAUAGAUAGAGACACAAAAAAAAAACUUUAUAAUAAUACACAUACAAAUAGCAACUUUAUGAGGGUAUUAAUGAAAUUACACAUAUUUAUGAGGGUAUAUACUUAAAAAAUAAUAAAAAUAAUCGAAAUUCAGUAAAGAUAAUUUAGUUAUUCAUAAUUAAAAAGAUGAAAAAAAAAUAUUAUCAUGUCAUAUGAUCUUAUAUUAAUAUAAACUCUUGUAGAAUGAAUCAUGUUACUUUUUCGAAUCUCUCGCCUCAAAAACAAACAACUCAAUGAUUACAAAUUACUAAGUUUCUUACAAAGUAAAUAUAUUUUUUACUUUCUAUUUUUAAUCAAAUCUGCACCAUUCUUAUCUAAUAAUUUUUAAAAUUUAAAUUUU